rnacentral:rRNA from 1 species
UACGAAGGGGGCUAGCGUUGUUCGGAAUUACUGGGCGUAAAGCGCACGUAGGCGGAUAUUUAAGUCAGGGGUGAAAUCCCAGAGCUCAACUCUGGAACUGCCUUUGAUACUGGGUAUCUUGAGUAUGGAAGAGGUAAGUGGAAUUGCGAGUGUAGAGGUGAAAUGCGUAGAUAUCAAGAGGAACACCAGUGGCGAAGGCGGGUCCCUGGACAACACCUGACACUGAGACACGAAAGCUAGGGGAGCAAACAGG